rnacentral:rRNA from 1 species
AGUCGAACGUGAAAGCACUUCGGUGUGAGUAGAGUGGCGGACGGGUGAGUAACGCGUGGGAAUCUGCCCAGUAGUGGGGGACAACUACCGGAAACGGUAGCUAAUACCGCAUACGCCCUAUGGGGGAAAGGCUUCGGCCGCUAUUGGAUGAGCCCGCGUCAGAUUAGCUAGUUGGUAGGGUAAAGGCCUACCAAGGCAACGAUCUGUAGCUGGUCUGAGAGGACGAACAGCCACACUGGGACUGAGACACGGCCCAGACUCCUACGGGAGGCAGCAGUGGGGAAUAUUGGACAAUGGGCGAAAGCCUGAUCCAGCAAUGCCGCGUGUGUGAAGAAGGCCUGCGGGUUGUAAAGCACUUUCAGUUGGGAAGAUGAUGACGUUACCAACAGAAGAAGCACCGGCUAAAUCCGUGCCAGCAGCCGCGGUAAUACGGAUGGUGCGAGCGUUAAUCGGAAUUACUGGGCGUAAAGCGCGCGUAGGCGGCUAAGUCAGUCAGAAGUGAAAGCCCCGGGCUCAACCUGGGAAUUGCUUUUGAUACUGCUUGGCUAGAGUUUGGUAGAGGAUAGUGGAAUUCCAGGUGUAGCGGUGAAAUGCGUAGAUAUCUGGAGGAACAUCAGUGGCGAAGGCGACUGUCUGGACCAAAACUGACGCUGAGGUGUGAAAGCGUGGGUAGCAAACAGGAUUAGAUACCCUGGUAGUCCACGCCGUAAACGAUGUCUACUAGCCGUUGGGAAUUUUAUUUUUAGUGGCGCAGCUAACGCGAUAAGUAGACCGCCUG